GAGGUUAUGGCUCAGUGGUAGAGCAUUCACCUAGCACAUGCAAGGUGCUGGAUUCAAUCCUCAGGGCCACA
rnacentral:tRNA from 1 species